AGUUUGAUCCUGGCUCAGGAUGAACGCUGGCGGUAUGCUUAACACAUGCAAGUCGAACGGGAUGCUUAGGCAUCUAGUGGCGGACGGGUGAGUAACGCGUGAGAAUCUGGCUCCAGGUCGGGGACAACAGUUGGAAACGACUGCUAAUACCGGAUGUGCCGAGAGGUGAAAGAUUUAUCGCCUGGAGAUGAGCUCGCGUCUGAUUAGCUAGUUGGUGGUGUAAGGGACUACCAAGGCGUCGAUCAGUAGCUGGUCUGAGAGGAUGAUCAGCCACACUGGGACUGAGACACGGCCCAGACUCCUACGGGAGGCAGCAGUGGGGAAUUUUCCGCAAUGGGCGAAAGCCUGACGGAGCAAUACCGCGUGAGGGAGGAAGGCUCUUGGGUCGUAAACCUCUUUUCUCAAGGAAGAAGAAAGUGACGGUACUUGAGGAAUAAGCAUCGGCUAACUCCGUGCCAGCAGCCGCGGUAAUACGGAGGAUGCAAGCGUUAUCCGGAAUGAUUGGGCGUAAAGGGUCUGCAGGUGGAACUGAAAGUCUGCUGUUAAAGAGUUUGGCUUAACCAAAUAAAAGCGGUGGAAACUACAGAACUAGAGUGCGGUAGGGGCAAAAGGAAUUCCUGGUGUAGCGGUGAAAUGCGUAGAUAUCAGGAAGAACACCGGUGGCGAAAGCGUUUUGCUAGACCGUAACUGACACUGAGGGACGAAAGCUAGGGGAGCGAAUGGGAUUAGAUACCCCAGUAGUCCUAGCCGUAAACGAUGGAUACUAGGCGUGGCUUGUAUCGACCCGAGCCGUGCCGGAGCUAACGCGUUAAGUAUCCCGCCUGGGGAGUACGCACGCAAGUGUGAAACUCAAAGGAAUUGACGGGGGCCCGCACAAGCGGUGGAGUAUGUGGUUUAAUUCGAUGCAACGCGAAGAACCUUACCAAGACUUGACAUCCUGCGAAUCCCAGUGAAAGCUGGGAGUGCCUUAGGGAGCGCAGAGACAGGUGGUGCAUGGCUGUCGUCAGCUCGUGUCGUGAGAUGUUGGGUUAAGUCCCGCAACGAGCGCAACCCUCGUUUUUAGUUGCCAGCAUUAAGUUGGGCACUCUAGAGAGACUGCCGGUGACAAACCGGAGGAAGGUGAGGAUGACGUCAAGUCAGCAUGCCCCUUACGUCUUGGGCUACACACGUACUACAAUGCUACGGACAGAGGGCAGCGAGCCAGGGAUGGCAAGCGAAUCCAGAAACCGUAGCUCAGUUCAGAUCGAAGGCUGCAACUCGCCUUCGUGAAGGAGGAAUCGCUAGUAAUUGCAGGUCAGCAUACUGCAGUGAAUUCGUUCCCGGGCCUUGUACACACCGCCCGUCACACCAUGGAAGUUGGUCACGCCCGAAGUCAUUACCCCAACCGAAAGGAGGGGGAUGCCUAAGGUAGGACUGGUGACUGGGGUGAAGUCGUAACAAGGUAGCCGUACCGGAAGGUGUGGCUGGAUCACCUCCU
rnacentral:rRNA from 1 species